rnacentral:rRNA from 1 species
GAACAGACGAGGAGCUUGCUCCUUUGACGUUAGCGGCGGACGGGUGAGUAACACGUGGGUAACCUACCUAUAAGACUGGGAUAACUUCGGGAAACCGGAGCUAAUACCGGAUAAUAUUUCGAACCGCAUGGUUCGAUAGCGAAAGAUGGCUCUGCUAUCACUUAUAGAUGGACCUGCGCCGUAUUAGCUAGUUGGUAAGGUAACGGCUUACCAAGGCAACGAUACGUAGCCGACCUGAGAGGGUGAUCGGCCACACUGGAACUGAGACACGGUCCAGACUCCUACGGGAGGCAGCAGUAGGGAAUCUUCCGCAAUGGGCGAAAGCCUGACGGAGCAACGCCGCGUGAGUGAUGAAGGUCCUCGGAUCGUAAAACUCUGUUAUUAGGGAAGAACAAACGUGUAAGUAACUGUGCACGUCUUGACGGUACCUAAUCAGAAAGCCACGGCUAACUACGUGCCAGCAGCCGCGGUAAUACGUAGGUGGCAAGCGUUAUCCGGAAUUAUUGGGCGUAAAGCGCGCGUAGGCGGUUUUUUAAGUCUGAUGUGAAAGCCCACGGCUCAACCGUGGAGGGUCAUUGGAAACUGGAAAACUUGAGUGCAGAAGAGGAAAGUGGAAUUCCAUGUGUAGCGGUGAAAUGCGCAGAGAUGUGGAGGAACACCAGUGGCGAAGGCGACUUUCUGGUCUGUAACUGACGCUGAUGUGCGAAAGCGUGGGGAU